UUUUAACAAUGGAUAUCUUGGCUCUCGUAACGAUGAAGAACGCAGCGAAAUGCGAUACGUAAUGUGAAUUGCAGACCUCAGUGAAUCAUCGAAUCUUUGAACGCAUAUUGCACUCUUGGGCAUUCCUGAGAGUAUGUUUGUUUGAGUGUC
rnacentral:rRNA from 1 species